GUGGGGAAUCUUGCGCAAUGGGCGAAAGCCUGACGCAGCGAUGCCGCGUGCGGGAUGAAGGCCUUCGGGUUGUAAACCGCUUUCAGCAGGGACGAAAAUGACGGUACCUGCAGAAGAAGCCCCGGCCAACUACGUGCCAGCAGCCGCGGUAAUACGUAGGGGGCGAGCGUUGUCCGGAUUUAUUGGGCGUAAAGAGCUCGUAGGCGGUUCGAUAAGUCGGAUGUGAAAUCUCCACGCUUAACGUGGAGGGUGCAUUCGAUACUGUCGUGACUAGAGUCCGGUAGAGGAGUGUGGAAUUCCUGGUGUAGCGGUGAAAUGCGCAGAGAUCAGGAGGAACACCCGUAGCGAAGGCGGCACUCUGGGCCGGAACUGACGCUGAGGAGCGAAAGCGUGGGUAGCGAACAGGAUUAGAAACCCCGGUAGUCC
rnacentral:rRNA from 1 species